rnacentral:lncRNA from 1 species
GAUCCACCUGCCCCUGCCUCCCAAAGUGCUGAAAUUACAGGAUUCAUCAUUUCGCAUUUCUGUAACCAUGAAUGAGGGUGUUUGUUUUCUUAGAACUGUCCAUGUGGAACAUCCUGUCAGCCUCAGCUUUUUAACAAUCAGGAAGAAAGUCACACAACCACAUAUUUUCUGAACAUAAGCUGAACUUCUACUUCCAUGGAGUGAGUUACUUCACCUCAUUGGCAAAAGACAACAGAAGAGUCCAAAGUCUGAGGGGACUGGGCAAGCUUCUGUCACAUGCUUUCAGAAUGAAGACAAUCUGCAAGAAUUUUAAGUUGUGACCUCUACAGAGAAAAGAAUGAAAAGUAGCCAAAUCUCCACAUGAGAGAUUUUGGACUAUUUUGCAGUGUAAACCCCAUCUGAUUUAUAUGAAGUAAGCAGACUUUCUCUCCAAGAGUUCAAAAUAAAUUAAUUCUAAUGCUAAA